UACCUAGGACUUCCUGCAUACAUUCUCCUAGGAUUCUGGAACCUAAUUGCUCCAGGGGCAGAGGAGACUCAGAGAAAGAAUUACACCCUGGGCCAAGUAAAAAUACCCAAGUUUUGCUCAGGGAUUCUGUAGAACCAUCCAAAAAGAGGAGACAGGUCAUUUGUGAGUACACACGUAUGAUCACAGGAAUGCUCAGAUUGCCCUCACACUCAGGGAUUUAUAGCAAAGACUUAAAGUGAAAAUGCUGUUUAAAACACCAACCAACAACCAAAAUUAAAAGCAGCAGAUUCUGUGAGUCACCAAGAGCCUCCAACAGCAACGCGUUGUAAGCUAUAAAGAGGAUUGAACCCGGGCAUGUGUGGGGUGGAGUUUCUUCACACCUGAGAGAGGAGACUGCAGGAUGAUGCUGGCCCGUGGAAGGGGCCGGGUGUUCAGUCCUGGGAAGCUGAGUAGACUGAGUCUCAAGCCGCCAGAUUGGAGAGUGAAAGUGCGAAUGCUAGCAGUGAGGGAGAGCGUGAGGCCAAAUACAGAAGCGGGAGGAAAAAACAAGACAAGAGAGCACAGGGGACCCCCUGGAACUUUGUGAGCUUCUAGGGAGGCGUCUGUGGGAAACUGAAACUUCCUCGACUCUGUGGUAGAGAACCGGCCAUCAGGGAACAGCUGGUGAGAUGAAUACCCACAAGUGACACACCAAAGCAUUUGGAGGCAGCCAAGAGCAAUGAAAAUUGCCUCUCUCCAACUGCACUACGGAAUGGACUUUUUCUGACAGGUCACCAAAGAAGCAAACACUGAAUCAUUUUAUUCUUGAACACAAUGCAUAAUUCAUCCUGGUGUCAGAUACCCAAAGACAAAUGGCCAAGCUAGCCACAAUUUAUUUCAACAAGAAGGGGAGAUGAAUAAAGGAGAACUGAUUUGGACAACCUUGAGCAUCUGCUUCACACUGAGAUUUCGGAAGUUUAUUUGUAAAAGUUUAUCUGGCCACUUGGACUCAUUUGGGAGACCUGGCUUCUGGCCUCAGCUCUGUCUGUGGUUUAAGGGACAUUUCUUACCUCCCUGACCGAGAGAAGUUUUUACUACAUAUUCCCAAGUUCCUUCUAGU